rnacentral:rRNA from 1 species
AAUAGAUACCCUGGUAGUCCACGCCGUAAACGAUGGAUGCUAGCUAUUGGGGGGAAUCGACCCCCUCCGAAGCGAAGCUAACGCGUUAAGCAUCCCGCCUGAGUAGUACGAGCGCAAGCUUAAAACUCAAAGGGGAUUGACGGGGACCCGCACAAGCGGUGGAGCGUGUGGUUUAAUUCGAUGGUAAACGAAGAACCUUACCAAGGUUUGACAUCCCGGUAGCCGUUCUCCGAAAGGAGAAUUUCAUUUAGUUGGACCGGUGACAGGUGAUGCAUGGCCGUCGUCAGCUCGUGUCGUGAGAUGUUGGGUUAAGUCCCGCAACGAGCGCAACCCUUAUGAUUUAGUUGGAUUUUUCUAAACAGACUGCCCUGGUAACAGGGAGGAAGGAGGGGAUGAUGUCAGGUCAGUAUUUCCCUUACACCUUGGGGCGACACACGCGCUACAAUGGCCGGUACAAUGGGCAGCUAAGCCGCGAGGUGGAGCAAAUCCCAUCAAAGCCGGUCCCAGUUCGGAUUGCAGGCUGAAACCGCCUGCAUGAAGCCGGAAUCGCUAGUAA